rnacentral:rRNA from 1 species
UACGUAGGGUGCGAGCGUUGUCCGGAAUUACUGGGCGUAAAGAGCUCGUAGGCGGUUUGUCGCGUCGACUGUGAAAACUGGGGGCUUAACUCUCAGCUUGCAGUUGAUACGGGCAGACUUGAGUUCGGUAGGGGAGACUGGAAUUCCUGGUGUAGCGGUGAAAUGCGCAGAUAUCUGGAGGAACACCGGUGGCGAAGGCGGCAUCCUGGACCGGUAUUGACGCUGAGGCGCGAAAGCUAGGGGAGCAAACGGG